GUUUACUUCGCCGUAUUCGCAGAGCCAGCACGUCCGCGCCAAAAGAAAGUUUGUGAGUUUUUAUCUUGUUUUAGAGUGACAUGCGACGCCAUAUACUCGGACGCUACACGAGUUUUACUGAGAGAACUUGACCCUCUAAACCAGUGCAUCCUUGGAUACAUCUCACACAUCUCACCACGCCGAGAACCUCUCCGUUUUAGGUGAAAUCAUGGCUGACGACCCUCAGAGAAACUUUCGCUCCGCUUAUUAUGAGAAAGUUGGCUUUCGAGGGGUGGAGGAGAAGAAAUCUUUAGAAAUACUACUCAAGGAUAAUCCUCUAGAUCUUGAAAAGCUGAGCACCUUCAGUCAGAGGUUUCCCCUCCCAUCCAUGUAUAGGGUCCAUGUGUGGAAGGUUUUGUUAGGCGUCUUGCCGCCCCAUAGCGACUCUCAUAUUCUGGUUGGAAGCUACAGAAAGGAGCAGUAUGAGGACAUCUUGAAGGCUCUGGAGGUGAUGAGAUACAUCAACUCCGCCACACCCUCCACUCUUGUGUACUUACGUAUGUUCCAGUUGGAGAGCCAGGUGCUCCCGCGCUGUUCUGAAACCUCACCACCGGAUGAAGAAAACAAGGAUUUCCUGUGCAUCAGUCGAGCAAUGGAGGAGAUUGUAGAGGACCCUUUUGACUGCUACUGGCUCAUAAAAUGUUUUAUCAGUCAGUUCCAUACCAAGUUUGGAGACUCACUUCCACAUCUUCCAAAGAGCCUGGAGCACUACUUAAGUCAGGAGGAGCCUCGGCUGCUCAGCCAUUUGAAGAACAGUGGUGCCUUGGCGCAACUUCCAUACAACCUCUGGUUCAAGCGCUGCUUUGCCGGCUGCCUGCCUGAGUCAAGCUUGCAGCGAGUGUGGGACAAGGUGAUCAGUGGCUCCUGUAAGAUCCUGGUGUUUGUUGCCCUGGAAAUACUGCUCAGCUACAAAAUUAUUCUGCUGGGAAUCAGCCGACCAGAAGGGGUGGCCAAGUUUCUGAGCAAUAUGCCGCAGGAGAACACAGAUGCAAUCGUGACUAAAGCAAUUGACCUAUGGCACAAAUAUUGUGGCACACCAAUGCAUGCCAUGUAGCCUGUAAGGAAAUCCGGUUGUUGCCUUCCCAUGAUGCACCAGCAGUUCACUUGACUCUGAUAAGAGAGUCCCAACUGGACAGUGCAUAAGUGAACAAAAAGUAUUGUUGGAUAAAAUGAGGAAUCAUUUUUAGCAGACUUGAACAUUGGGAGCAACUACAGAAGCAGACAUGUCUCAGAGGAGAGAGCAUCCAAAGUUACGUACGUUUCAGGAUGUUCCUUUGUUCCAGUUCCUCUGCAGUUGGACGUUGACUCAGCCGUCUGGAAAGAGUACAUUUGUAUCUGAGGGUGAUUAGCGUAUGGUGGUUAAGCCAUGCAUUCAUGGAGAGAUCAUCCAAACUCCACACUGAGAUGCCCAAACAGAGAGUCAAACCCUCGAUCUCCUGACUGUGAGGCCAACAUGCUAACCACUCCAACACUGUGCAAACCCAUGUCACCAUAUUUUUAGAUAGCCAAGAAAUUUAAUAGAAGUGUAAAACAAGAUGGCAACCAAAAAGGAAUUGAAGAGGAAACACUACUUAUGCUGCCUUUUGAAAGAAUGGACAUCUUGGAGGUUUGCAAAGGAGAAAUGACAGUGAUGACAAAUUAAGGAUACCUUUUCCGAACCUGCUGAGUGAAAACCUGACAAGGAAGUCGAAGUUUAAAGUUAAGAUGCACUCAAAACUUUCACUGGCUUUCACUGCAAAUCAUUUUACAGGAUGCAAUUACAGUUAAUAUCACAGACAUUUAUUAAAACCAUGAUAUUCGUCUCAGGUUUUUGUGUCCUUUCUUCCGCCACUAUCAAGGAAUAAAUCAUUGAAAAUGUUCAUUUUAUUAUCAGUAUAGCUUAAUAGUGAAACAAUUGCAACCAUGGAAUUUCCAUUUCACCUACAACUAACAAUUUCAAAAUAUACAUAGAAAAUCCUUGGAAAGAUCUCUGCAGGUUCUGCGACCGUGUCGUAUACUGUACGUAUUAGUGCACCGCGCAUUGUGUACCUGUGCUUUCUGACCAUUGUUUGUGCUUUUUACCUAUGUUAGCUAUUAUGGAGGUGAACGGAGAUGUUGUGUGUGUUUUGUCCUCACCAGCAGAGGUCUGCUUGAACUUUUCACUCUUUUUCUUUCUCCAUUUCCAGGGUUUAAAGAGACGCCCCAGGGUGGCAAAUUUACUUCUUCGCCUAAUUGGAGGUGUGUGUGUACCAGGUACCAGUGAAUCAGAACGCAUUGCUGCCAGCCUCUCCACUUCUUCAGCUGCAACACAAAAUGAAAACAGCAUGGUCUUUAACAUGGAAAGAACAUUCACAAAAUAAGUUUUUUUUACAACAAGCAAAUAAUACAUUGCAUCCAUUGUGUUUUGUCGUACAGACACUGGGGACAGACAAUAAUACAAAUUUUGGGAUCAAUCCAAUACAAGACCAUUAUUACCAAAACCGAUACUGGCACAGAUACUUUUUUACUUGAAGGCCAUUGCCUGUGAAUAUUCUCAUUCAUCCAGGUCAUUGUAUUCUCUAGUCAUUGAAUCGGGACUGUUCGAGUUGUCUUAGAAGACGUUUCGCCUCUCUCAGCAGGCUGCAACAGCUAAUGCUCAAAGACUAGGUGGGACAAACACUAGUCAGGCUAGAUAGCACAGCUCUAGUCUGAGACUUGGUGCAAGAUCCAGCGUAUUUAUCCUCCUAAAGGAGGAGGCAUGUCCAGACAGGAAUGGUUUUGCUAUUUUGUGGGGCAUGACAGAAAAUAAUUGAGAACCACUGCAGUGUGAUUAUUUAAUUUCUCCUGCACAGGAGAAGGAAUAGAAUUUCAAAGUUCAUAUAAAUCUAAGCAGUGUUUGUUGUCUUCCUCCUCCUAUAGCUUUGAAGUGAUCUUAUUCGAGGCGGGGUGUUCUCGUCCAGUACUUUGUGCGGUGAUUUGUCUACUAUCUAAUUACUAUAAUAAGGACUUUAAAGAUGACUUGUGGGGUUCUACUGGGCUCCAUUCUUGGACCUGUGCUCUUCUCUUUUUUUAUCUGCUGCCCCAUUUUUAGAAAGCAUAAAAUUGCUUUCCUCUGUUAUGCAGAUGAUACGCAAGUGCAUGUGCCUCUAAAACAAAAGGAUGCCUUUACGUUACAGAAUUUGCUGGACUGUCUUGAGGAAGUAAAUGCCUGAAUGGCUCUAAAUUUACUCAAAAUCAAUGAAAAUAAGACUGUGAUAGUCUUUGUUCCUUGUGCUUCUCGUGAACUCCAUCACAACUCUUAAGACUGAGUUGUUUUUAUUUAUAUUGGCCAGCUUUGUUUACUUACAUUCUGUGAUGUGAUUGAUGCUCUGCUCAGCAAUGACCGUCUGCUCAGAGGCAACAAAAUGUUCAGGGCUUUUGUUCUUUCAGCAGUUUAUUUCUAGCUCUCUCACAUCCAUUCAGCUAUGUACCUCUUCAUCCUCCUUGCUUUGACCGAGCUCAGCAUGUGUUGGAUUAAUACAACGUGACACAACAGCAGCGCCUGUGGGAGAGUGCUUGUGUGUGUGUAUACGUCCCUGAAAAUGCGUGAAUGACAGUUGGCCUAUCACAAGCGUUUGAGUCACCCCCUAUUCUCCUUCCUGUUUUCAUCACUUCUGUCUUGAUAGGCGACCCUCACCUAAACAGCAACCUGAUGGGAGAAAUGCUUCAGAACACAACUUAAUGUAAAAACAUUAAGUUUGGGUGCAAAUUGGGUCAUUUUAGUGCAUCGUUUGAGUUCUUCAGUCAAUCUGCUCCGUACUUUGAUUCCACAUACAGAUACGCUGAAGGUUUUUAGUGAUGUGUGGGCGUAUACGUGUUUUAAGUCAAUUUUUUUCUUAAGAUCAUAUUUCCUCUCUCUUGAUGAAAAGAAUCGUAUUACGUUUCUGGGCAGCUCGUUAUUUUUUGCUCUUCGCUAGCGAUAGUGCCAAGGGGGAGCCACAGCUUAAAAACCCUCUUCUGUGAAUAAAGUCUCCUGUUCAGGAGUACUUGGUCUUCCCAGUGAAAUGCAUAAAUGGACAAAGACAAGCGGAUAAGACAAACGCAGUGUGUCAGCAUUGUUCUGUAGAGAUGGGGAGCAGGGCUACAAGCUCUUGCACCGGUCUAUUGCACUUGUGGCCCAGAGGCCAUUUUUGAACGGGAUUCCCUUGUUCUGAUAGGGGAUAUCAACGCUCAUGUUGGCAGCGACAGUGAGGCCCGGAGCGGCGUGAUUGGGACGAAUGCCCCCUGCCCCGACGGGUCCUGACAGUUAUUUGCAGUUGUGCGCCAAAUAGCAGUUCAGAAUACCUGCCGGACCUGCCAGAAUCCUUCAUCCAGCGGUGAGGGAUGCCGUUAAGCUGAAGAAGGAGUCCUGUUGGGCUUUUUUGGCCCAUAGGACUCUAGAUGGAGCUGACAGGUACCGGCAGACCAAGCAGUUUGCGGCUUUGGCGGUGGCCAAGGCAAAAACUUUGAGUGGAUCUUUGAGAGGAUUUUGUGCAAUGUUUGCUUGGCCAUAACCUAAUUACCUCCAGAUGAAAAUACAAAGGCAAGAUUAAAAAAAGAGUGCUGAUACAACAAAUUAAAGAUAAAAUCAGUUUCAUUCCGCAAUAGAGCCAGCAUGAGCACCAAUUACCAGUAUAGCGAUACUAGAAACAAUGUUAUCCUCCAAAUUGACCCACUAUAUUGUGUAUCACCGUGGGUUAAACACUUUACUUGGCUCUAGUGUUGUCUCUGAGUACAAUGACUAUUUUGUCUGAGCUGAAUGGAAGAAUCCACAUGCCAGAGAGGAUGAGUGAGGGUUUUGUGUGUUUUUGGUGGGAAGCAGCAACAUAAUGGAAGUGCUCCUUCCCCCUUGUUAAUUUCUUCUAGGCCUAUUUAAUAUAUGUCAAUAACAAUAUAUGCAAGAUAGAACAGUGUCCAUGUAUGUGCGUGAGAGCUAAAUGUAUUACUUCUAUUGUACUUAGAGAAAAGGGGUGGGGUGUUUCUAAUGUGUAACUCCCACCAUAUUAUACAGCCAAUGAUUUCCUUACAGAGAGGGCCAGUCUUUAUAUUUUCAACCUGCAUUUUUCCCCACUUUCCUCUUCAAACUCUCCAGUUUCCUCACAUUUAAGUAUUCUGUGACUCAGUCUUUUGUUUAGGUCUUCUUUAGAGCGCUCCCUGCUUCAUUGAGAAUGUGCCAAUGUCUGUGUCUCUGGGAGGCUCUGGGAAAAAUAUCCAACUGAGCUGACCUUGAUUUACUGGAUAAUACAAGCAAUGGAUUAUUAGGAACAUACAUGGAGAAAAGGUAAGGUUAAAGAAGAUCUUCUUCCUACUCCUUUUCAGACAAUGAAUUGUGCAUGUGUAAUUACUAUAUGAUGUUCCUUCAUGUAACGUGUUGAGCAUAUCCGGAACAAAUAAACUAACCAAAACCAACUAACAAUGAGAUGUAUUGUAUUAUCGUAUGGACCAACAUAAAACCUGCG